rnacentral:tRNA from 1 species
AGCCGAUGUAGCUCAGGGGUAGAGCAACGCUUUCGUAAAGCGUCGGUCGUCGGUUCAAUUCCGACCAUCGGCUU